rnacentral:rRNA from 1 species
CCCGACUUCGGGAGGGGUGUAUUUAUUAGAUAAAAAACCAAUGCCCUUCGGGGCUCUUUGGUGAUUCAUGAUAACUUAACGGAUCGCAUGGCCUUGCGCCGGCGACGGUUCAUUCAAAUUUCUGCCCUAUCAACUUUCGAUGGUAAGGUAUUGGCUUACCAUGGUUUCAACGGGUAACGGGGAAUUAGGGUUCGAUUCCGGAGAGGGAGCCUGAGAAACGGCUACCACAUCCAAGGAAGGCAGCAGGCGCGCAAAUUACCCAAUCCCGACUCGGGGAGGUAGUGACAAUAAAUACUGAUACAGGGCUCUUUUGGGUCUUGUAAUCGGAAUGAGUACAAUUUAAACCCCUUAACGAGGAACAAUUGGAGGGCAAGUCUGGUGCCAGCAGCCGCGGUAAUUCCAGCUCCAAUAGCGUAUAUUAAAGUUGUUGCAGUUAAAAAGCUCGUAGUUGAACCUUGGGCCUGGCUGGCCGGUCCGCCUCACCGCGUGUACUGGUCCGGCCGGGCCUUUCCUUCUGGAGAGCCGCAUGCCCUUCACUGGGUGUGUUGGGGAACCAGGACUUUUACUUUGAAAAAAUUAGAGUGUUCAAAGCAGGCCUUUGCUCGAAUACGUUAGCAUGGAAUAAUAGAAUAGGACGUGCGGUCCUAUUUUGUUGGUUUCUAGGACCGCCGUAAUGAUUAAUAGGGAUAGUCGGGGGCAUCAGUAUUCAAUUGUCAGAGGUGAAAUUCUUGGAUUUAUUGAAGACUAACUACUGCGAAAGCAUUUGCCAAGGAUGUUUUCAUUAAUCAGUGAACGAAAGUUAGGGGAUCGAAGACGAUCAGAUACCGUCGUAGUCUUAACCGUAAACUAUGCCGACUAGGGAUCGGGCGAUGUUUCUAUCUUGACUCGCUCGGCAC